CAACACCUUGCCCAGGUCAAACUGUUCUGUAGUGGGUUGGAGUCUGUGCUCUGGAGGGGCCUGCAGGGAAAUGCUGGCAGAAGGCUUGUUGCUGGUGGGCACCAGCAGAGCUUUGUGAGGAAAGCGGCAGGUACCAGCUACCCUAUGGACGGUCUUUCUCUGGUGCUUGAUUUCUCAAGAGUGGGAGUCACAGAUAAAAGCACCAACAAUAACAGGUGUACUUAUGGACUAUAAAUGGAUUUGGUAGCUGGCAUGCUGGAUAAUGGAGAAAGGGAUCAAGUCCAUUCCUGGAAUAACGCUUGACAACAGUGCUUUUGCUGUCAUGCAUUGCCGUAGUUUCUGUGCACCUCCCACCUGAAAAAGGCGCAACAAUGGCUCUCUCCCUGCUAGGCACAACCCUGCAUUGAGGUGGAAUGGAGCUGUCCCUUGCCAGCACAAUGAAAUUCUGAGUAUGGUGAGGUAGUGGUGGAGAUCCUCAGAGGUAUCUAGGAGUCCUUGUACUGCAAUUCUACCUGUCUUUGUGAUCCACAGAAGGAGGGGAAGGCUCUUUAUGCUCUCCCCACACUAUGUACUUGUGUAAGGACCAGGCAGAAUCCCUGAGAACCUCUGGAUGUGGCCCAGUUAUUAAAAACGCAUCAAUAUUUUCAUUUCAAAUGUGAAUUCAUAGUAUUCUACAAAUGUAGGGCUGGAAGGGACACAGUAUUCCAGCUGAGGCCUCAUCAGUGAUGAGCAGAGCAGGACAAUU